CCUACGGGAGGCAGCAGUAGGGAAUAUUGCUCAAUGGGGGAAACCCUGAAGCAGCAACGCCGCGUGGAGGAUGAAGGUUUUCGGAUUGUAAACUCCUUUUGUUAGAGAAGAUAAUGACGGUAUCUAACGAAUAAGCACCGGCUAACUCCGUGCCAGCAGCCGCGGUAAUACGGAGGGUGCAAGCGUUACUCGGAAUCACUGGGCGUAAAGGGCGCGUAGGCGGGAUAGCAAGUCAGAUGUGAAAUCCUAUGGCUUAACCAUAGAACUGCAUUUGAAACUGUUAUUCUAGAGUAUGGGAGAGGUAGGUGGAAUUCUUGGUGUAGGGGUGAAAUCCGUAGAGAUCAAGAGGAAUACUCAUUGCGAAGGCGACCUGCUAGAACAUAACUGACGCUGAUGCGCGAAAGCGUGGGGAGCAAACAGGAUUAGAUACCCGAGUAGUC
rnacentral:rRNA from 1 species